rnacentral:rRNA from 2 species
CGCUAAAAUAUUUAGUAGCAAAUGGGUGAGUAACACGUACCUAACCUACCUUUUGGACUGGGAUAACCAUUGGAAACAGUGGCUAAUACCGGAUAUGAUAAAAAUUUGCAUGAAUUUUUAUUCAAAGGAGCCUUCAAGCUUCACCAAGAAAUGGGGGUGCGCAACAUUAGUUAGUUGGUAGGGUAAAAGCCUACCAAGACGAUGAUGUUUAGCGGGGCCAAGAGGUUGUACCGCCACACUGGGAUUGAGAUACGGCCCAGACUCCUACGGGAGGCAGCAGUAAGGAAUAUUCCACAAUAAGCGAAAGCUUGAUGGAGCGACACAGCGUGCAGGAUGAAGUCUUUCGGGAUGUAAACUGCUGUUGUAAGGGAAGAAAAAACUAGAUAGGAAAUGCUCUAGUCUUGACGGUACCUUAUUAGAAAGCGACGGCAAACUAUGUGCCAGCAGCCGCGGUAAUACAUAGGUCGCAAGCGUUAUCCGGAAUUAUUGGGCGUAAAGCGUCCGUAGGUUUUUUGUUAAGUUUAAAGUUAAAUGCUAAAGCUCAACUUUAGUCCGCUUUAGAUACUGGCAAAAUAGAAUUAUGAAGAGGUUAGCGGAAUUCCUAGUGGAGUGGUGGAAUACGUAGAUAUUAGGAAGAACACCAAUAGGCGAAGGCAGCUAACUGGUCAUAUAUUGACACUAAGGGACGAAAGCGUGGGGAGCAAACAGGAUUAGAUACCCUGGUAGUCCACGCCGUAAACGAUGAUCAUUAGUUGGUGGCAAAAGUCACUAACACAGCUAACGCGUUAAAUGAUCCGCCUGAGUAGUAUGCUCGCAAGAGUGAAA